rfam:Schistosoma margrebowiei strain Zambia genome assembly, scaffold: SMRZ_scaffold0000585
CUUUUGCUAACGAGUCCCAAGUAGGACGAAACGCGCUUCCUGAAG